GGAAAGGCGAAAAGAACCCCGGGAGGGGAGUGAAAAAGAACCUGAAACCCUGUGCUUACAAGCACCGAGAGCACGUCAAAGUGUGAUCGGGUACCUUUUGUAGAAUGGUCCGGCGAGCGUAUGCAGCGUGCAAGGUUAAUGACUUAAGGUCAGGAGCCGAAGGGAAACCGAGUCUGAAAAGGGCGACAAGUACGUUGCAUAGGGCCCGAAACCGGGUGACCUAUCCAUGUCCAGG
rnacentral:rRNA from 1 species